rnacentral:rRNA from 1 species
AUGGCCACUACUGUGAAGGAGAAAAGACCGACAAGUCAUGGACGAGAGGACAUUGCGAAUGGGAAUUUUAUCGGUGCUAGUGUGCAUGAUUCAAAAGAGCAACAAGGUCAACACAGAGAAGGUCAAAGAAACUAUUAUGCCGAUAGAAGCAUAGAAGUCCUGGGGGUACCAUCCAUACGAAGAUAUGGAUGUGCUUACUAUUUGGGUACCUCCGAGUUGUGGCACCUGGGAUCAAUUUCCGCAGCAGGAUGUCGUGGUUCUCAAGUGGCAAACAUACAAGAAUCGUUCAUCUACACUCGUGACAAUGAUGAUCUUCUUCCUAAUCAUGAAGAGUCAAUUGGGGAGUUAUUUGAAGAGUCAUUAUCUAGAUGCAUUAUCUAA